rnacentral:rRNA from 1 species
GACGAACCGAGCGAACGUUAUUCGGAAUCACUGGGCUUAAAGGGCGCGUAGGCGGGCGGCCAAGUCAGGGGUGAAAGCCCCCAGCUCAACUGGGGAAGUGCCUCUGAUACUGGUCGCCUCGAGGGAGGUAGGGGCGUGCGGAACUUCCGGUGGAGCGGUGAAAUGCGUAGAUAUCGGAAGGAACGUCGGUGGCGAAAGCGGCGCGCUGGACCUCUUCUGACGCUGAGGCGCGAAAGCCAGGGGAGCAAACGGG